AGAUAGUUUACUCAGUAUCUACUUCUGCAGUUAUUUGUGUGGGUACAGGUUCACAUGCUUUCGGUUCAGCCAAUAAAUGUGCGGAACCGGUGGCAGGCAGAGGUUUACAUACUUUUCAUACAGCCUUGGGAUAAAACAGCCAAAUUUUCCACGAUUCUCGAGAAACCGGGACAACUUCAUAAAAGUCAUGCUGAUCGGUGACAUGGUUUAGCG